GCGAGGACGUCGCGCGAGCGCGGCGACGAAUCGACGAGGGUUCGAGAGCGAACGUCGCGCGCGACGCGUGGACGCGCGGACGUCUGGACGCGCGCGCACGGCGUGAACGGUCGAGAUUGAGGCGGCGGCACGAACGACCGACGACGACGACGACGACGACGACGACGGCGCGGGACGCGAACGCGAGCGCGCGCGAUGCGAGGGACGGCGUCGACGACGCGGGAUUCCGCGGCGUGGACGGACGACGAUGAUGGACGCGGGAGCGAUGCGAGACGGGAUGCGGUGCGUGCGAGCGCGAGGAAGGGUGGACGCGCGCGCCGAGAGACGACAUCGACGAGACGAGACGAGACGAGACGAGACGAGGGUGGAGACGAGACGAGACGAGGCGAGGGUGGAAACGAGGGUGGAGACGAGUUUGUAUGACUGACGAUACGGUGGUUUCGAACGAGGCAGAGCCCGGCGGUUGUGGCGGUGGCGGAAGAGUUGCUCGCGUGCUCGCUGCCCGGUGGGGUGACGACGCGCGCGAGAUUUGAGUGGAGGUACGGGAAGUGCGAGGAACGACACUGGGGCGACGUGUUCGCUCGAUUCGCGGAGUACUUGACGCGCGAGGGUGUGCGCGCGAUCGAAAAUCGAUGGAUUCGCGAUCGCGGCGACGAUGCGUCGGAGCGAAUCGAGGCGUUUGCGGCGGUGAAUU
rnacentral:lncRNA from 1 species